UGGUGGUAUAUACUACGGGAGAACCAGGAGGUGGAGAAGGCUUGCCAGCCGCCGGAAGAGCAUCGACGGCGACGGGGGUGGGGAAGCUGUCCACCGAACGGAACGACCGCUCGGCGAUACGAACGGCGAGUCGAACGGUUUCCCAAACGGAUACGGACAUACCAACCUUCGACGAUAUUCGCCGAUUUUCUGCCUAGUCGGUAUCCAGCGAAGAAGAGGGAAGGAGGAGGAGGGGCAGGAGGAGGCGGUGGUGGUGGCGGUGGUGGAGGUGGCGGCGGCGGCAACGACGGCGUCGGUGGUUGAAAAAGUGGAGGAGGAGGAGGAAGAAGGGAGAGUAACAGCGAAAAAUAAUAUAAAAUAAGGGGGAAAGAAGGGAUAAAUUCAAGGAAAUAGUAGGAGAGCAAACUCGUUAAGGAUGGCGGACACGAGUGAACAGCAAACGUUGUCCGAGCCACACACGAACGGAGUAAUGGACGGUUUGACGGAAGAGGAGAAAAGUAAAAUGAGGCCUGCCGACAUCGACGCGGAUAUGAGAGAGAUGGAGAGGAGAAAGAGAGUCGAGAUGAUGAUGAAUUCGAGACUCUUCCGAGAGGAAUUAGAACGUAUUAUCGAGACACAGAUGAAAGACGGUGCUGGGCCAUCUGGCCUAUUGCAGCAAAUCUCGGACAUGAUGGGUGCGCAAGGUGCUCGGUUCAACGCAAACGUGUUCAAAAAUACGAAUUGUGUAUUACCUAUCAACGACAUACGCGGUGUCGAAAGCAUGGGCUACGCGAAGGGAGAGAAACUGUUACGCUGCAAGUUAGCGGCGGUGUUCAGAUUGCUAGAUCUUUACGGUUGGACUCAAGGUGUCGGUGGGCAAGUCACAGCCCGCUUGAAUCAGGAUCAAGAACACUUUUUAAUUAAUCCGUACGGACUGCUUUACCAUGAGGUCACCGCCUCGAGUUUGGUCAAAGUUGACAUGCAAGGGGCGAUCGUGGAACAGGGAACAACCAAUUUCGGCGUUCACGUGACAGGAUUUCAGUUGCAUUCGACGAUCCAUGCUGCAAGGCCUGAUAUCAAGUGCAUCGUUCAUAUUACCACUCCGUCCGUUACUGCUAUCUCGUCGCUAAAAUGCGGAUUGUUGCCAAUCGGACAAGAGAGUAUAGUAAUAGGGGAAGUGAGCACGCAUCAGUACAUAGGCGGAUCCUUCGAACCGGAAGAGAAAGAGAAGAUAGCUAGAAAUCUUGGACCUGUGAACAAAGUGAUGCUGUUGACGAAUCGCGGCGCUCUCUGUUGCGGAGAGACCGUUGAGGAAGCGUUUUACAACGUUUACAACAUGGUGAUGGCCUGCGAGACGCAACUGAAGAUGAUGCCCGCCGGCCUUGAGAAUUUAAAUCUUAUUUCCGAAGAAUCGAAGAAAGCUAUAUUCGAGGCCUCGAGAAAACCCCCUACACCGCAGCACACGGCUCAGAUCUCCGAAAGCUCGGCUCUCGCUGAAAAACUUGAGAAACGUUGGCGAAUCGGCGGAACUGAAUUCGAAGCGCUCAUGCGGAUGCUGGAUAAUGCUGGAUUCCGUACGGGUUACAUAUACAGGAAUCCGUUGGUGAAAGGAGAUCCUCCGCGACCUCGAAAUGACGUUGAAGUUCCACCAGCAGUUUCGUCUCUGGGGUAUCUACUCGAGGAAGAGGAACUAUAUAAACAAGGACUCUGGAAAGGUGGUCGCAAAGGCACUGACAGGUCACGUUGGCUGAACUCGCCCAAUGUGUAUCAGAAGGUCGAAAUUCUCGAGACGGGAACUCCUGAUCCGAAAAAAAUUACAAAGUGGGUGUCUGACGGCUCUCCGACCCACAGCAGUACGCCGGUGAAGAUCGACGGUGCUCUUCAAUUCGUACCGAAGAAUACCAAUCCAAAGGAGUUUAAACAAUUACAGCAACAGAUCAAAGAUUACCGUAGGGCAGACAAGAUAUCAGCUGGACCACAAUCUCACAUAUUGGAGGGUGUUACGUGGGAAGAAGCUAAGAAAAUGCAGGAUGCCACCAUCAGCGGAACUGGAGAGCAAGUAGUAUUGGUAGGGGCGGCCAGCAAAGGUAUUAUUCAACGUGGCUUUCAGCACAAUGCGAUGGUCUACAAAACUCCAUACGCCAAAAAUCCAUUCGAUGCCGUUACCGAUCAGGAACUCGACCAAUAUAAAAAAGAUGUGGAACGUAAACAGAAAGGGGAUCCAUACGACGAGUCGCAGUCUGAAUCGGAGGCAUUGUCAUCCUUCAACGCUAGCCGCACAACUCAUGAAUCGAGCACUGCCAAAAGUCCGAUUCAAUCACCGGUAUCGAUAACUUCGGAGGCGGAAGAAGAAAGCAGAGACGAACCCCGAGUACUGCGAAUAGAAACGAAACAAGUGCCUGCACCGAGUCAACCCGAAGUUGUGUUGAGCGACGACGGUUUUGUAACGUUGCUUCGAACGAAUCUCGAUCUUCUGCGCACUGACAAUGAGACGACCGAAGCACCUUCGGAUACUGCUUGUUUUCCCCUCCCUUUUCGAUGCAUCAAAACAUUCGAAGAGGCGACCAGAAUCGUGUUGAUUUCCGUUUCUUGAGGAGAAAAUACCGUAAAUGGCGAUCACUCGGAUGCACACCACAGUACAUUUUCUCAAAGUAGCAAAGAGGGUUCCGUGUCGCAGGAUGUGAGCGUUAGCGAGGAAUCGCCAAAGAAGGAAAAGAAGAAGAAGAAAGGCCUUA